rnacentral:lncRNA from 1 species
AUGGGAGGUGAUCUUGUCAAUCAGGCCUCACUAGCCAAUCAGGCCCUCCAGGUGGCCUGUCAGUCACAAGAGUACAGGGCUCUUCCUGCCGGUGGCAGUUUCAGGCUUGUCUCUGAAAAGGAGCUAGUUCCUUUUUGUGUGUGUGUGUGUGUUCUGUGGUGUGAGUACUGCUACAGGGAGCUGAGUGGAGAGCUUGGAAAUCCGGGAAACCACGACAUGAAUGCAGGGACAUAUGACAAUGUGCAUGUUGACUUCACUCAGGAAGAGUGGGCUUUGCUGGAUCCUUCCCAGAAGACUCUCCAUAAAGAUGUGAUAUUGGAGACUACAGGAUCCUUACUGCUAUAGGGCCUUCUCCUUGAAAAUUUUCAAGCCAGUCUGGGUGUUAUCCUCCUGAGUCUACUUUUGAAGGAGCCAAUACAUACAGCCAAAGGGUAAGUCUGUGGGCACAGAGCUUGGUUACAGCUCCACCUAGUGGCCAUGUUUUAGCACUUUUAAAAUGUCUCUAAAAUUUACUUUUUUUUUAUGUUUGAGAAUUUCAUACAUGCAUAUAAUGCAGUGGUUCUCAACCUUCCUAAUGCUGAGACCUUUUAAUACAGUUCCUCAUGUUGUGCUGACCCCAACCAUAAAAUUAUUUUUGUUGUUACUUUAAAACUGAAAUUUUGCUGGGCAAAUAUCUGUGUUUUCAGUGGUCUUAGAUGACCUCUAUAAAAGGGUUGUUUUAUCUGUUCAUGUAUUUAUUUUAUGUGUAUGAGUGUUUCACGUGUGUGUGGGGGGGCAACACCCGUGUGGCUGGUGUACGAGAAGGUCAGGAGAGGCAUUUGGAUCCCCAGGGAAUGGGAUUACAGUUGGUUGCCAGCAGCCAUGUGGACGCUGGGAAUCACACCAGUGUCCUCUGCAAGAACAAAAAGUACUCUUGAUGACUGAGCCAUCUCUCCAGCCCCGUAUUUAUUUAUUUUUGAGAAAGGAGUCCCAUUUAUCUCAGACUGGCAGAACUUGCUAUGUAGCCAAGACUAGCCUGGAAUUUUUGAGAAUACUCCUGCCUUAGGCUCCUAACCCUUGGGUUGCAGGCAUGCCCCAUCAUGGUCCACUCAUUUUACUGUCUACAUUUGCAAUAGUCACGAAUCAUUCCAGACCUUUCUAGCGUUUUAAGCAGCAGCUCUUUGCAUUAUUAAUCCUCCCUCUAUGUACCGUUAGAUCUCAUCAACAGAGCGGGAAUUUAAGGGCGUGCUGCAAGACCUAUAAUAACACAGUGCUAAAGACCUCCCUUCCUCUCUUAAGAUCAGAGGGACCCCUGCACAGAGGCAGAGCGCAGGACACCUGUUUCUUUGGGCCCUUUGCCCAGGGCCAAGGCACCCCUCCCUUUUGCACACUUUCUUCUAAACAAUCAUCUUCUCCCAUCUUUUGAAACCAAACAAUUCCGUCAAAAAUAGAGUUUCAGGCAUUAAAUCAGGAAAUGGUACUAAACAAACGGAAAUGUUUUGCUUUUAAUACCAAAGCCAUUUGUUUACAUUUAGAAAUCGUUUCCAUCCAAAGCCCCUUAUCGAAAAGAAGCACAGGUCAUCAAUCAAAACGAGACUUUAUAGAUAAGAAACAAACCCUGACCUAACAAUUGUAGUGAACACCAACAGCUCUCCUUGGCAGUUUUGCUGAGUCAUUUUUCAGGAAACGGGCUGCCCACGGAGAUUUCUACAGGAGAAACAAUCAACGCUAUUUUCAUAUUAAUAACCUCCAGUUGCCUUAUUGUUUUCAAAACUUUUGUUAAUAAAUGUUUUCCUGUUGGGUGGAAAAAAAACA